rnacentral:rRNA from 1 species
GAUGAACGCUGGCGGCGUGCCUAAUACAUGCAAGUCGAGCGGUAAGGCCCCUUCGGGGGUACACGAGCGGCGGACGGCUGAGUAACACGUAGGAACGUACCCCAAACUGAGGGAUAAGCACCAGAAAUGGUGUCUAAUACCGCAUGUGGUCUUCGGAUUAAAGCUUCGGCGGUUUGGGAACGGCCUGCGCAUGAUUAGCUUGUUGGUGAGGUAAUGGCUUACCAAGGCGAUGAUCAUUAGCUGGUCUGAGAGGAUGAUCAGCCAGACUGGGACUGAGAACGGCCCAGACUCCUACGGGAGGCAGCAGUAGGGAAUUUUCCACAAUGGGCGAAAGCCUGAUGGAGCAACGCCGCGUGCAGGAUGAAGGCCUUCGGGUUGUAAACUGCUUUUAUAUGUGACGAUUAUGACGGUAGCAUAUGAAUAAGGAUCGGCUAACUCCGUG